rnacentral:pre_miRNA from 1 species
AUUACCUGGGAAUCUUGUUAAACUGCAGAUUCUGGCUCAGUGCUUUCUGGGGGCUGCUGAGAAUCUGCAAUUCUAACAAGUUCCCCGGUGCAGCUGA